AGACGUUUCAAUGCUCUCAAUAUAAGGAGGUUGAAGGAGAUUCAAUGCUAUUGAGUGGUAGGACAUAUUCAGGGUUUGCCAUGCAGGGUACAACGCACUGAGAACAAUUGCCCAACCUUGACGGGGAAGAGAGUCACUGUUCUAGGAAAGAAGAAAGCUCCCCGUUAACCAUGUGGGGUUCAAAUUUUUAUAUAUAUAUAUAUAUAGUUGGUAAAAUUCCGAUUUUGAUUCGAUUGAAAUCACUCUGUAGAAUUGAGGUCAUCUUCUUUGGAAGUGCUUCUGGUAUCUAUCCCGUUCUUACUCAUAUUUUACAUAUUCUAAACAGCAUGCUACAUGCCCUUUCGUGUUCUUGUCUAGCAAAUUAUUCUUGUUGAUUAAUACUAGGAGCAUCCAGUGUAGAUAAUUCGGUUCCUCAAUGAUAUUGUGAUUGUGAGUUAGUACUGACUUAGCUUUUUGAAAAUUCGAAUGGUUUUGUUGUCUUUGCUACAAACCCAUAUUACAAGGAACAACUUGAAAUUUUUUUAAACCGAUUUUUUUUUUCUAGGUCUUAUAUAUUGACAUUGGUUUGAGUUCCCACAAUUUUCCAUGUCUAAUCCAAUCCUAUGCCCGCUCAUUGACUAGUCUAUUGCCAUAUAUUUUCAUCCUCGACUUAUUCUACUUAUAGUUUUGCAUCAAUGCGUAUUCCAUUCACUGAAACAUUUGUGAGAUCUUCCCAUUUGUGGCUAGUUUGUUGUCUCGCAAUGUUCUCACUAAAUCACUUGUUCAGACAUUUGCACUCUGUUUCUGGAUUCAUAAUUGCAAAUCAAGUUUAGAUCCUAGUUUUCAGUCUACCUCUUGUGUACUUUUUUCAAAGCUUAGGAGGAUUGAAGCCAUGGAUUUUGUAAACUGCAGAGAGCAAUAAUACCCAGACCAAGAGAAGCCUUGCCAGCCUGCAUUUUGUAUGGAGCCACAUUUUCAUUUUCCUGGCCAAGUAUGAUUGCAAGAAAAGGACUAAAAUUGAUGUCAGUGAUCUUUUGUGAGGAUCUGAGUUGGGGAGGGAAGCUGGUUAAUAAUGAUGAUUAAUUGUCAAUUAGAAGGAAUACUAUUUCCUUGUAGUUUGUUUGCUGGUUGUCCACUAAGCAAGUUUAUCUCUUCACUAGAACACAAUUGAUUGAUUUAACUGCAGUUUCUUGCUAUAUCCUGUUUCUAUUAAGACCUCACUGCUGAACGCAAAGAUCAAACACUAGAAUUUAAAUAUAGCACAAAUGGGCCUUCAUCAUUUCUCUGUUUAAAGGGGUUGAGCCAGUAUUUUUUAUUAGAUUAAGAGCGGAAGAAUGAAAUACUAGAGAAUGCUAUUCUGGCCAAAGGCAUUUGUACAUAGCUUGGAAUCCACAGAAAAAGCUUGAACAAAAUUAAGCUUUGUCAGUAAUUUCAGAUAAGUACUGCUAUUAGCUUCAUUUUCUAUUUAGUAGUAUUUCAACAAGAAAUUAUUGAUGAAGAUUUUUUUUUCUCUUUUCAUACUUGUUAUUGCAAAAUUUUCAAGAAGGAGCACGUUUGAUAUAUACACUAACUUGUUUAGAGAUUUCAACAGUGGUGUGAGUACAUGACCCUUGCUUCGGUUAAUUUCAAGGCGAAACAUUCAAGAAACAUUCCCUACAUCUCUAUGAUGAACUAGCAAAUAUUGAUGCCUGCUUGUUAUUGAAAAACAGCAUUUUCUUUUUCAAAUAGAAAAAGGCUGAUAUUGCUUAGUGCUGGCUUUAGAAUUAAGCAUGCAUAAUCAUGAACCUGCGCUUAGAUGGGAUACGGUCGCUUUCUCACCCCUGCGCAAAGAAACAAUAAAAGCAUCUACCAUAGGCCAUGAUGCUAAUUUCCCCAUUUGUGAUAAUUACAGUGGGACUUCACGAAGAUUUUUUUUUUUGGGUCACCCAAUUGAAGUAGAGGUAUGGCCCUAAUUCUUUUUUUCUUUUCAAAUAAUCAGCACAAGAUACAGUUUCUAAUGAGUUGUACCUUCACUUGGUGGGGACUUGAUCAUACAUCCCUAACCGUAUUAUGCUAAAACUUUCAAUAUUAUCAUAUCUUCACCAUAAAACCAUAGAUUAGCCAAAAUCCUUACUGAAAAUGCUUAUUUAUUAACAGAGAAGUAGCAGCAGCAUAACAUGAUGAAAAUGAGAAUUAAACGUAAAAACGUAUAGCAGAGAAAAAAAAAUAGCAGUUGCAUGGAGAUAAGGACUAACUCUGCCAUCAGUGGCCAAUACCAGGGCUUGGAACAUCACCAUACCUUCUAUAGUAGUCAUAAUCUCCUUGUCCAGAUUCAUCUCCUGAAUCAUCUUCCAUGUCUAGAUGCUUUUCUGUUCCUCUUCUUUCAACAAGGCAAGCAGGAGCACAAUCCUUGCCAAUCCUGGUAGCCACUUUACAUUGAAACAUCAGAGACAUAAGAAGCACUAGUGUCAGGAGAAGAGCACUGGCCUUGGCCAUUUCUUGAACUGAUAUAAUUCUUGAUGCUAGCUAGAUACCUAGCUUUACCAAUGGAACUUAACCUUGAAGGAGGUAAAGCUUACACCAAUUUGAAUUAUUUAUAAGGCAUUACCAUGGGGCGGCAUGAUUUUUAGAAAGGUAAGUAGUAUUAUAUGAUUUCAUUCAUGUAGGGUCAUAUAAAUAAGCAGUGCAUAGUAUUUAUGAAUAAAAAAUUAUAUAUUUGUGUGACUUUGAUGACUUUGUCUUUGACCUUAGUGCAGUCCAUUGUAAUUAGGGAACAUCUUGAAGUUGAAGAUGUUACUGACAUCAUUAUAUUUGAUGUACUAACUUUAGCUCAACAACGUCUUUGAAGACAAGACAAUUUCAGUAGCUGGCAGAAAUCUCUGGCCAAGGUAUAGCCUGAUGUGUACAGACUACAGUUCUGGAGAAAUGUUGAGGGGAAGCCUUGGUGGAGCAGUAAAGGAGAUUGCAAAUUCAAAUCUUGUGAGACAGUUCCUUCUCCAGUCAAGGAGGGACAUUUUGAAGGUUGUAUGUAUCAAUAACAUUCAGCCAUGCAGGUGCAGCUAAGCAAAUCAAUGACGCAUUACAAGAUUUAAUUCUUUUUUCAUGGUGUGUAGCUCUCACACUCAACACUUGACACUUUAUUUUUCUUUUUCUUUUAUGAUCAGAAAUGUAUGUGAAAACUCUCAAAGUAUAUCAUAUGAUCAGAAAUGGAAAUAAAAUGCUAAGAAUCUUUUUUUAAAAAAA